rnacentral:tRNA from 1 species
UCCCGUUUAGCUCAGCUGGUAGAGCGCGUCACUAGUAUUACGCUUACGUAAACAAUAAAUGACGAGGUCAGUCGUUCAAAUCGGCUAAUGGGAA